AUGGUUUACUAAGACAUUGUUCAUUAUUAUUUAUGGUAUAAAAGUACUAAUUAAAGGGUCUAUCUCUGUUCAAGAUUACCUCUUUAGGAAAAGAUGUAGCUUGUAAAAAAAUUAGCCGAAUGAACAUGGAUUUUAAUAAACCGUGUUGGAUUGCUUAAAAGUGAGUAGAAAUAAUCUACAUGAAACCGAUUUCGGCAUAUCUGUUAACUAAGAAAAUAUAGAGUUAUUUUGAAACUAUAACACCUAAGUAGGUAUAUUACUUUGACAACGCUAAGAAGUACGGACAUGGCACACCCUGUACAAAGUCCACAUUAUGACCACACAAAAAAUGGUUACUUUUGAAAAGUUUGGCCAAAAAAACAUUGACAAGUAAUAUUAAAUUGAAUCACACCGUAUAUAGAGCACACCUCUUAAUAGAACAAUAUUUUUUUAAUUAUUAAAAUGAAAAUAAAAUCUAUUAAUCCAAUCCAAACGUUCAGCAGAAUCAAGCUUCCAUUUCCUGUUUGGUGACUAAAGAUACUUUUGUUUACUUUAAAACCAACUUCGCAUAUCGAUCGCUACAUGUUUAUCUUUUCGACCAAAAAAACCGAAAUUCACAACCUUAUUAAAAAACGCAUUCUUUUGAUGGGAUAUUACGAAGCCCUUCAAACUAUACUAGUUUGGUGUUUGCGUCGGGUGGUGUUUCAGAACAUUUCGGGUGCAUUUUCCGAGCAAUAAAAUGUGAAUUUGAGUGAAAAUUAGGCAAAUUGCACGAUCACAGACAGACAGUAUUCAUUUACCAUUCAUUCCUACUUGAUGGGACUUGCAUGGCGUACAGGCUCCUGCAGAUGUUGCUGCUUCAAAUAAAUGUGGCACGAUGCAGUUUUCGAUUUAUUGGACAAGGAACGACGAGGGACUUUCUGGAUUCUGGAUGGAGUUUUAAAAUUUUUCGAAUUUUUUUUCUGUACACAUAAUUUAAACUGAGAUAUUAGAUGUUAAUAAAUGAAUGAGGUUCUCUAUAGAA
rnacentral:lncRNA from 1 species